AGCAGCUGCGGUAAUUCCAGCUCCAAUAGCGUAUAUUAAAGUUGUUGCAGUUAAAAGCUCGUAGUUGAAUUUCGGGAUCAAUUAAUCGGUCGUGCCUCUGGUACGCACUGGUUUUAUUGGUUUCUCCCUUCUGACGAACCAGGAUGUCAUUAAUUUGGUGUCUUGGAGAAUCAGGACUGUUACUUUGAAAAAUUGAGUGUUUAAAGCAGGCUUCUAGGCAUGAAUACAUUAGCAUGGAAUAAUGAAAUAGGACGUUUGAUCCUAUUUUGUGGUUUCUAGGAUCGACGUAAUGAUUAAUAGGG
rnacentral:misc_RNA from 1 species